CCUUUGGAGAACUAUCUAAACAAGAGUAGUAACUAUAUAUUAUGAAAUUGGGUUCAUUGAAUAAGGAA
rnacentral:ncRNA from 1 species